rnacentral:misc_RNA from 1 species
AUACUUGGAACUCACAACUUAUAUACAAGAAGAAUAAUUUCCCUAUAAAAGACAUCAAAAAUCAAAGCAAAACGGAGUCUUUGUGUGUGUGUGUUGAGGCCUAUGGAGAAGACGACGAUACCAAAGAAGUUGACGAUGAGCAAGGAUGUAACGAUCGAUCUGGUGUGUUUCUACAUAAGGGGCAAGUAGCAUUUAACUUAAGCCAUUCAUCAAUGCAUUCAGCAUGAAAAUAAUGGUUGCAUUCUGGUAUAGUUCUUAACGUUUCUUUAGGCAUGUAGUCCGAUAGACAUAUCGGACAAGUGCCAUCGUUGGGAUUGGGGAGACGUUGACUCUCCCCGAGCACUGUCUUGGGAUAUGUAUCAA